GUUUUUGAGACUAUGCAGAAGUGAUUCCAUGAGUUCCAAGCCCAGGUCAUGAAAGAUAACUUGAAAUAAAUCUGGCUACCCUGAAGCUGCCAUGCUCGAGAGACCACACGAGAUGGAGAGAGAUGCUUAGGAGUCCCAGCUCUCCAAGCCUCCAGCUAUGUGAAUCUUCCCAGCAGCAACUGCCAGACAUGUGGUACACCCAAAAUGACUUUGGGGCUACACUUGGAAUUGGCAAGGUUCCAGAAAACAGAGGGACUAUCAUCAGAGACAGCGCACAAAAAGUGGGAGAAAGGUCACCAGCCUCACUCAUGUUUAGGGCUAUUAUGAAUGAAGCUGCUAUGAACAUUUGUUUACAAGUUCUUUGUGAGGACACAUGUUUUCAUUUAUCUUGGGAAAAUACCUAGAGAUGGAACUCUGAGACACAUGGUAAUAAAGUAUAUUGGCAUAAUGCAAGAGUCAAGAUGCAGAAAAUAACUACUGUGUGAUGUCUCUCUCCCAGCUUUAACCCGCCUGAAGGGCAGCACUGAAUUCAACACACUGUCCCACAAUUUUUGCACUCUCACACUGAAGUGAACAGAUUCUUUCUCCGUGCCGUGCAGCUCCCAGCAGAGGAUGAGGGAAGGGUAGCAUCGGUGAUUCAACACUGUGUUUCCUAUCCUCUUCAAUGACUCUUUCAGCGAUAUGAAG